GAUUUUCAAGCGCAGCGCGGGAGCCUCCGCCGGCGCCUUCCGGAGACCCCCGGGGACACCCCCGUGGACGCCCCCCGGGACCUCCCGGUUCCCCCCCCGGCCCGUCCGCUGGCUGGGUCGGGGGCGCCGCCGCCCAGGCCCCCACAGGUCCCGCGGGACCAGGGCCGCAGCCCCUGAGGGUCUCGGCGGCCUUGGCGCGCGCGGGCCCCGGUUCGCCCGGGAACCGUUUAGGAUUGCGUGAGGAGCAGCGAUUGGAGCCCGCGGGCGCGAGAGGAUCCCCGGGCCGCGGCCCCGCCUCCCGAAAGCACCUCCUCCCAGCCGGGCCGCCGCCGGGCAGGGGGCUUAGCCAACGAGCAAAGUCGCAAGUACCAAGAGAAGGCAACUCUGCACCCGGUCUGCUGUUUUGAGCCAGAAGCCAUGAGAUGCCUCUAAACGAGAACUGCUCUAGUCAUGGAAAGUAUGCAUCGUAAAUUCCAGUGCUAAACCUUUUGUUUAGAUGGGGUACAAGUCAUUGUCAUUUUACUGUCAGAAUUUUUUACAGUGUUAUAGAACGCACCAAAUCAGCCAUGACCUGGACCUGCCAACCCUAAGGACCUCAUGUAUCUUAUUUCUGAGUAAAUAUUGAAAAAAGUUCUGUAACUCAUUAAUUGUCCUUAAUGAAUAAUGGUGAUUCACCCUUAUAUUUUGUUUUCCCCUCUUGAUGCCGAAACCAUGAAACCAAAUACAAAAGCUUGGACACUUUGGUAAAAGACAAUAGCAAUUAUGUGGGCUGCUGCUGUCCAAACAUAUCAGCAUUCGUUAAUAGCACUGUGGCUCUCUCAAGUUACCGAUUAAGCAUUAAAAAUAGAAACAUGGCUUGCUUAUGUUUCAAAUGCCGUCUCAUUUAUCACCCAAAUGCAAAUAUUAUCUGUCUGCAUAUUCAUAAGAACCAGCACCUGCACAACACAUCUUUCUUACGUAACGGCUUGGGAGUGCCAUGAUUGGUGGGAAACUGCAGGAUAUCUGAGCAGGGAGAGUAGAUCUGCGAGUCCUGAAGCAGGGGCCCUGGAGUGGGGUUUUGAAAGGUGGGUUGGUUUGGCAGGCUAUUGUAAUGACUGGUCCAUGAGUCGUGGUGGGAGGAACUGGCUUCAUCUGCAGUAGAUGCCUGGCUACUCCUGAAACCAAGGAAAACAUCGUUCGGGCGCCCGAGUCCUUCCGAAAAGUAUCACCAACUGUAGUCCUCUUCCAGGGUUUAAUUUGUUUAAGGAAAGGAAGUUCUAUUUUCCCAGAGUUAAGCAGAGAGUUCCCAAACUGGGCUUCACCUUCCACCCACCAUCACCAGCACCCACGAGCACUAUCACCGCAUAAAAGAAUCCUUCAGCUGCAGGUGUGACUGCCAGAUAUUUUCUUAAGAAGGAUUACACCCCAUUUCAGUUCUCCAAUAUUCCUGAGACGUUGCUAACUCUUUCGGACAAAAAUUCUAGAGACGAUCUUAGGGACAUUAGUCAUGCGGAAAGCUUUUAGGUUGUUUGCUUAUUAUGGGAAGCUUCUAAUAAAAUCAAUCUGAGUUUUCAGCAUAUUUGAUGGAAGCCAGGUCUACAAAUGUAGCAGAUUUUAAAAUGUUCUCUCAAAGUGGAAAGAAUGCUGGCUCUGGCAUUCCUCCCGCUGAAGCGGAGCUAAUGACAAGUUUUGGGAAACAGUGUUGGAAUCAAGAGUGGCCAGAAAAAUUGGUUGCCCUGGGAGGUGAACACAGGGAGCUGUGGAUGUAUUUAAACAUGAGUCACAUGACUAGCUUCUAUUUAGGCAGAAGCAAAACAUGUUUUCCUUUAAAUCAUUAAACUGAGUGAACUCAAGAAAAAUCUCGUUUGCCUCUAAGUGUUGUUGUUCUUUGGGGUUUAAAGAGUUUCAAGAUGAGAUUUGUUUUCUUAAAAACUUAUAUCAAUAGCUUCCAAACGAGACACAUCUGUAGACUUAGCGCACCCAAAUGACAUCUGUGUUUGGCCCCACAUCCUACACCUGGAUGGUUAAGAUGGCACAUCAAAAAAAAGGGGGGGAGAGGCCAGGCACGGUAGCUUACGCCUGUAAUCCCAGCACUUAGGGAGGCCAAGGCAGGUGGAUUACCUGAGGUCAGGAGUUCAAAACCAGCCUGGCGAACAUGGUGAAACCCUGUCUCUACUAAAAAUACAAAAAUUAGCCGGAUGUGGUGGUGCGUGCCUGUAAUCCCAGCUGCUCAGGAGCCUGAAGCAGAAGAAUCACUUGAACCCGGGAGGCGGAGGUUGCAGUGAGCAGAGAUCCGGCCACUGCACUACAGCCUGUGCAACAGAGCGAGACUCCGUCUCAAAAAAAAGGCAGGGGGGAUCAUAAAUACUUCCCUUUAAAAAAUUUUUUUUCUUUUCUUUUUGCUUUUUCUUUAUUGUUUGUUGUUGUUGUUGUUUGUUUUGUUUUUUUUUUUUUUUGAGACGGAGUCUCUUUGGUUGCCCAGGCUGGAGUACAGUGGUGCGAUCUCGGCUCACUGCAACCUCCGCCUAACGGGUUCAAGUGACUCCUGCCUCAGGCUCCCGAGCAGCUAGGACUACAGGUGCCCUUCACCAUGCCCGGCUAAUUUUUGUAUUUGUAGUAGAGACAGGGUUUCAUCCUAUUGGCCAGGCUGGUCUCGAACUCCUGACCUGAAGUGAUCCGCUCGCAUCAGCCUCCUAAAGUGCUGGGAUUACAGCCUCAUUUUUUUUCUCUUCUUUUUCUUUUCCCUCUCUGUCUCACCUCUCUUCUCUCUCUCUUUUCUUUUCUUUCUUUCUUUUUUUUUUUUUGAGACAGAGUCCAGCUCUGUUGCCCAGGCUGGAGUGCAGUGGCGUGAUCUCGGCUCACUGCAACCUCCACCUCCUGGGUUCAAGUGAGCAUGCCCAGCUAAUUUUUGUAUUUUUAGUAGAGACAGUUUCACCAUGUUGGCCAGGCUGGUCUCAAACUCCUCACCUAAAGUGAUCUGCUCGCCUCAACCUCUGAAAGUGUUGGGAUUACAGGCAUGAGCCACCACGUCCAGCUAGAUUAUAAAUACUUUCUU
rnacentral:lncRNA from 1 species